rnacentral:rRNA from 1 species
UACGAAGGGGGCUAGCGUUGCUCGGAAUCACUGGGCGUAAAGGGCUCGUAGGCGGCCAACUAAGUCAGACGUGAAAUCCCUCGGCUUAACCGGGGAACUGCGUCUGAUACUGGAUGGCUAGAGAUUGGGAGAGGGAUGCGGAAUUCCAGGUGUAGCGGUGAAAUGCGUAGAUAUCUGGAGGAACACCGGUGGCGAAGGCGGCAUCCUGGACCAACACUGACGCUGAGGAGCGAAAGCCAGGGGAGCAAACGGG